rnacentral:rRNA from 1 species
ACGAAGCACUUUAUUUGAUUUCCUUCGGGACUGAUUAUUUUGUGACUGAGUGGCGGACGGGUGAGUAACGCGUGGGUAACCUGCCUUGUACAGGGGGAUAACAGUUGGAAACGGCUGCUAAUACCGCAUAAGCGCACAGCAUCGCAUGAUGCAGUGUGAAAACUCCGGUGGUAUAAGAUGGACCCGCGUUGGAUUAGCUAGUUGGUGAGGUAACGGCCCACCAAGGCGACGAUCCAUAGCCGACCUGAGAGGGUGACCGGCCACAUUGGGACUGAGGCACGGCCCAAACUCCUACGGGAGGCAGCAGUGGGGAAUAUUGCACAAUGGGCGAAAGCCUGAUGCAGCGACGCCGCGUGAGCGAAGAAGUAUUUCGGUAUGUAAAGCUCUAUCAGCAGGGAAGAUAAUGACGGUACCUGACUAAGAAGCACCGGCUAAAUACGUGCCAGCAGCCGCGGUAAUACGUAUGGUGCAAGCGUUAUCCGGAUUUACUGGGUGUAAAGGGAGCGCAGGCGGUGCGGCAAGUCUGAUGUGAAAGCCCGGGGCUCAACCCCGGUACUGCAUUGGAAACUGUCGUACUAGAGUGUCGGAGGGGUAAGCGGAAUUCCUAGUGUAGCGGUGAAAUGCGUAGAUAUUAGGAGGAACACCAGUGGCGAAGGCGGCUUACUGGACGAUAA